rnacentral:rRNA from 1 species
CCUACGGGUGGCAGCAGUGGGGAAUAUUGCGCAAUGGGCGAAAGCCUGACGCAGCGACGCCGCGUGAGGGAUGAAGGUCUUCGGAUCGUAAACCUCUGUCAGCAGGGAAGAACGGUCACUGUGCUAAUCAGCAGUGAAUUGACGUUACCUGCAAAGGAAGCACCGGCUAACUCCGUGCCAGCAGCCGCGGUAAUACGGAGGGUGCGAGCGUUAAUCGGAAUUACUGGGCGUAAAGCGCUCGUAGGCGGUAUGUCAAGUCAAGGGUGAAAUCCCCGCGCUCAACGUGGGAACUGCCUUUGAAACUGGCAAACUGGAGUGUGGGAGAGGAUAGUGGAAUUCCAGGUGUAGGAGUGAAAUGCGUAGAUAUCUGGAGGAACAUCAGUGGCGAAGGCGACUAUCUGGCACAUAACUGACGCUGAGGAGCGAAAGCGUGGGUAGCAAACAGGAUUAGAUACCCCGGUAGUC